rnacentral:rRNA from 1 species
GAUGAACGCUGGCGGCGUGCCUAAUACAUGCCAGUCGAGCGAGCAGACGAGGAGCUUGCUCCUCUGACGUUAGCGGCGGACGGGUGAGUAACACGUGGAUAACCUACCUAUAAGACUGGGAUAACUUCGGGAAACCGGAGCUAAUACCGGAUAAUAUAUUGAACCGCAUGGUUCAAUAGUGAAAGACGGUUUUGCUGUCACUUAUAGAUGGAUCCGCGCCGCAUUAGCUAGUUGGUAAGGUAACGGCUUACCAAGGCAACGAUGCGUAGCCGACCUGAGAGGGUGAUCGGCCACACUGGAACUGAGACACGGUCCAGACUCCUACGGGAGGCAGCAGUAGGGAAUCUUCCGCAAUGGGCGAAAGCCUGACGGGGCAACGCCGCGUGAGUGAUGAAGGUCUUCGGAUCGUAAAACUCUGUUAUUAGGGAAGAACAAAUGUGUAAGUAACUAUGCACGUCUUGACGGUACCUAAUCAGAAAGCCACGGCUAACUACGUG